GCGGUUGUGCUGGAAUCGGCAGACAGGCAUGACUAAGGAUCAUGUGUCGUAACGACGUGCAAGUUCAAGUCUUGUCAACCGCACCA
rnacentral:tRNA from 1 species